CCUACGGGUGGCAGCAGUGAGGAAUAUUGGUCAAUGGCCGCAAGGCUGAACCAGCCAAGUCGCGUGAGGGAUGACGGCCCUACGGGUUGUAAACCUCUUUUGCCAGGGAGCAAAGGGCGCGACGUGUGGCGCCUGGCGAGUACCCGAAGAAAAAGCAUCGGCUAACUCCGUGCCAGCAGCCGCGGUAAUACGGAGGAUGCGAGCGUUAUCCGGAUUUAUUGGGUUUAAAGGGUGCGCAGGCGGAAUGUCAAGUCAGCGGUAAAAUUUUGGGGCUCAACCCCGUCGUGCCGUUGAAACUGGCGUUCUUGAGUGGGCGAGAAGUAUGCGGAAUGCGUGGUGUAGCGGUGAAAUGCAUAGAUAUCACGCAGAACUCCGAUUGCGAAGGCAGCAUACCGGCGCUCAACUGACGCUCAUGCACGAAAGCGUGGGUAUCGAACAGGAUUAGAUACCCUAGUAGUC
rnacentral:rRNA from 1 species